GUCCGAUGAUGUUAUCCAAAUAUUUGCUACUCUCGACCGCGUUGCGUGACGACCACACUUUUUACACACCAAGAUCGCUGAGGAC
rnacentral:snoRNA from 1 species